rnacentral:rRNA from 1 species
CACGUAGGGGCCAAGCGUUGUCCGGAUUUAUUGGGCGUAAAGAGCUCGUAGGCGGCUCGGUAAGUCGGGUGUGAAACCUCCAGGCUCAACCUGGAGACGCCACCCGAUACUGCUGUGGCUAGAGUCCGGUAGGGGAGCGUGGAAUUCCUGGUGUAGCGGUGAAAUGCGCAGAUAUCAGGAGGAACACCAGCGGCGAAGGCGGGUCUCUGGGCAACAACUGACGCUGAGGAGCGAAAGCGUGGGGAGCGAACAGG